rnacentral:rRNA from 1 species
GAUGAACGCUAGCUACAGGCUUAACACAUGCAAGUCGAGGGGCAGCACUAGGUAGCAAUACUGAGGUGGCGACCGGCGCACGAGUGCGUAACGCGUAUCCAACCUUCCCGUUACUCUUGGAUAGCCUUCCGAAAGGGAGAUUAAUACAAGAUGGUAUUCAAAUUCCGCAUGUUAUUUGAAUUAAAGAUUUAUCGGUAACGGAUGGGGAUGCGUGACAUUAGGUAGAUGGCGGGGUAACGGCCCACCAUGCCUACGAUGUCUAGGGGUUCUGAGAGGAAGGUCCCCCACACUGGAACUGAGACACGGUCCAGACUCCUACGGGAGGCAGCAGUGGGGAAUAUUGGUCAAUGGUCGGAAGACUGAACCAGCCAAGUAGCGUGAAGGAUGAAGGUUCUAUGGAUUGUAAACUUCUUUUAUACGGGAAUAAAACCUCCCACGUGUGGGAGCUUGUAUGUACCGUAUGAAUAAGCAUAGGCUAACUCCGUGCCAGCCGCCGCCGUAAUAC